rnacentral:rRNA from 1 species
CACGUGGGUAACCUGCCCAAGAGACUGGGAUAACACCUGGAAACAGAUGCUAAUACCGGAUAACAACACUAGACGCAUGUCUAGAGUUUAAAAGAUGGUUCUGCUAUCACUCUUGGAUGGACCUGCGGUGCAUUAGCUAGUUGGUAAGGUAACGGCUUACCAAGGCAAUGAUGCAUAGCCGAGUUGAGAGACUGAUCGGCCACAUUGGGACUGAGACACGGCCCAAACUCCUACGGGAGGCAGCAGGG